GAUGAACGCUAGCGCCAGUCCUAACACAUGCAAGUCGAGGGGCAUCAUGAUCCGUAGCAAUACGGGUUGAUGGCGACCGGCGCACGGGUGAGUAACGCGUAUGUAAUCUGCCUGUAACAGAGGGAUAACCCGGAGAAAUCCGGACUAAUACCUCAUAAUACACAGGAUUCGCAUGAGUUCUAUGUUAAAGGGAAUCGGUUACAGAUGAACAUGCGUUCCAUUAGUUGGUUGGCGGGGUAACGGCCCACCAAGGCUACGAUGGAUAGGGGUUCUGAGAGGAAGGUCCCCCACACUGGUACUGAGACACGGACCAGACUCCUACGGGAGGCAGCAGUGAGGAAUAUUGGUCAAUGGGCGGAAGCCUGAACCAGCCAAGUCGCGUGGAGGAAGACGGCCCUACGGGUUGUAAACUCCUUUUACCUGGGAAUAACGGGCGCUACGCGUAGCGCUAUGCAUGUACCAGGCGAAUAAGCAUCGGCUAAUUCCGUGCCAGCAGCCGCGGUAAUACGGAAGAUGCGAGCGUUAUCCGGAUUUAUUGGGUUUAAAGGGUGCGUAGGCGGAAGAAUAAGUCAGCGGUGAAAUGCUUCAGCUCAACUGGAGAAUUGCCGAUGAAACUGUUUUUCUAGAGUAUAAAAGAGGUAUGCGGAAUGCGUGGUGUAGCGGUGAAAUGCAUAGAUAUCACGCAGAACCCCGAUUGCGAANGCAGCAUACUGGGCUAUAACUGACGCUGAAGCACGAAAGCGUGGGUAUCGAACAGG
rnacentral:rRNA from 1 species